GACGAACCGUGCGAACGUUAUUCGGAAUCACUGGGCUUAAAGCGCGCGUAGGCGGGUGGGAGCGUCGGCCACUGAAAGCCCCCGGCUCAACCGGGGAAGGGGUGCCGAGACGUCCCGCCUGGAGGGGCGUAGGGGGACCCGGAACUUCCGGUGGAGCGGUGAAAUGCGUUGAGAUCGGAAGGAACGCCCGUGGCGAAAGCGGGGUCCUGGACGCCAGCUGACGCUGAGGCGCGAAAGCUAGGGGAGCGAACGGG
rnacentral:rRNA from 1 species